rnacentral:lncRNA from 1 species
AUCUGGGAUAGACAGCCCGCUGUAGGAGUUUGGAGUAGACCAUUCGUAGUAGAAGUUUGGCUCUCGCGGGAGCUCGAUUGGGAUCCGAAAGGCGAUCGACCACCAUGAAAACUUGGAUGGAGCCUGGUUACCGUAGAAAUCUCGCUGUCGGGGAAGCUCGGAUGCAGACAAAGUCCAGAAGAAAUUCAAAAAAUAGUUGGUUGCUGUAGAAGGUCGGCUAACAGUGGGGCCCAGAGGGCCUUUGGGGUGGCCC